UGAUGGGAUCUGCUUCCACAUCAGCUCUCUGUGCUAGCUCAUGUGUCUCUGGAACUUUAGAUCUCAUUUGUGACAAAAUGCAACUUUGAAGGAGAUAUUUUCAGAUGAUAGAAUCACUUCUUUCCUCCACAUUCUUCCCUGCUCAGAAUCUUCAGUGUCACUUGUACUCCAUAUGAAAGACAGAUAAGGGCUAGCCAGUAGUAUGCUACUGGGGCAGAAUAAUGGUGUACAUAUGAGGGCAGCUUCUGGAAUGCUGUAAAGAUUUUGAUGGAAAAUCAUGAAAAGUUCUCAACUCUAAGGACCUGUCUAUUGGUGAAAAACUGAACAAGGUGCUGAUUUAUAGCCUCAUCUGAAUUGAGCACUAUACCAUGCAAGGAGUUUUGAAAAGAGCAAAACAAGUGGAAGUCUGAUGGUGCAAGGUCAGUGCACGCACGUGCCCUACAGCAAUUCCCCCCCCUCA